rnacentral:lncRNA from 1 species
GCUCGCUCGGUCCCGGCUAUGUGAAAAUAGUGGGGUGAGAACUACAACAAAGUUCCUAGUGGGUUCGACAACCAACCACGCCGACUAUCCCACUAGGUCUAAUCAGGCAUAAUAGAAGAAAGAAUAGAUAAUAACCAACUAACAAAUGCAGCUAAUAUGCCUGAACGAUAAAUAAAACUAUGCUCGAUAGAAUGCUCAUGAUGAAUGCAAGAUUAACUUUUC